UCAGUGAGUAUAACAGCUCAUGAGUUUUUUUUUUUAUUGUUUUUUUUUUUAAAAUUUUGAAAUAGUUUCAUUUAUCAGAUCAUUGUUUUGACUCUUAACUAUAAUCUGCAGAAACUUGCUGGCAUGGGAGGUGAAGGUGGAAUGGGUGGGAUGAAUUUCUCGAAACUUGCUGGCAUGGGAGGAGGUGAUGAUGCAAUGGGUGACUUUGAUGAUAGCGAUGAUGAGUUCAUGCAUUCUUGGUUCUAAGAUACAGCAAAUGGGUGAUCAAGAAGAAGCUCUAGCCAAUAUGCAGUCUCCUAGCCUAAAUAUGACAGAUGUUGUCGGGGUGUCUGUGAAAUGUAACUUUGUCUCAACAGGUUGACUACUAAGUGUUGACAAUAGUUCCUCAGAGGUUUACAAAUAGCGAGUCAAGAAUCUACUUAAGUACCAAGUUCAUAGUUAGCUUAUUGAAGUUCUAAGUCAACAAUUUGCUUAU